GAUGAACGCUGGCGGCGUGCCUAAUACAUGCAAGUCGAGCGAACGGACGAGAAGCUUGCUUCUCUGAUGUUAGCGGCGGACGGGUGAGUAACACGUGGAUAACCUACCUAUAAGACUGGGAUAACUUCGGGAAACCGGAGCUAAUACCGGAUAAUAUUUUGAACCGCAGGGUUCAAAAGUGAAGGACGGUCUUGCUGUCCUUUAUGGAUGGAUCCGCGCUGCAUUAGUUAGUUGGUAAGGUAACGGCUUACCAAGGCAACGGUGCAUAGCCGACCUGAGAGGGUGAUCGGCCACACUGGAACUGAGACACGGUCCAGACUCCUACGGAAGGCAGCAGUAGGGAAUCUUCCGCAAUGGGCGAAAGCCUGACGGAGCAACGCCGCGUGAGUGAUGAAGGUCUGCGGAUCGUAAAACUCUGUUAUUAGGGAAGAACAUAUGUGGAAGUAACUGUGCACAUCUUGACGGUACCUAAACAGAAAGCCACGGCUAACUACGUG
rnacentral:rRNA from 1 species